AUUGAACGCUGGCGGCAGGCCUAACACAUGCAAGUCGAGCGGUAGCACAGAGAGCUUGCUCUCGGGUGACGAGCGGCGGACGGGUGAGUAAUGUCUGGGAAACUGCCUGAUGGAGGGGGAUAACUACUGGAAACGGUAGCUAAUACCGCAUAACGUCGCAAGACCAAAGUGGGGGACCUUCGGGCCUCAUGCCAUCAGAUGUGCCCAGAUGGGAUUAGCUAGUAGGUGGGGUAACGGCUCACCUAGGCGACGAUCCCUAGCUGGUCUGAGAGGAUGACCAGCCACACUGGAACUGAGACACGGUCCAGACUCCUACGGGAGGCAGCAGUGGGGAAUAUUGCACAAUGGGCGCAAGCCUGAUGCAGCCAUGCCGCGUGUGUGAAGAAGGCCUUCGGGUUGUAAAGCACUUUCAGCGGGGAGGAAGGCGAUAAGGUUAAUAACCUUGUCGAUUGACGUUACCCGCAGAAGAAGCACCGGCUAACUUCGUGCCAGCAGCCGCCGUAA
rnacentral:rRNA from 1 species